AGGCUUGGCUUGGUUGGUCCAGGGAUCAAACGGUUCUGCUUAAUUUGAUCAAUUUUUUGGUGAUCCUCCUUUGUCAAAGACCAAUCAAAGAUUUGAAGGUUUUGGUUCAUUCUGUUCUUAUCAUAGCUCUUAGGAACAAAAGUGAUUCCUUGUUCAUAUAACCAUCUAAGAGAGAUUUGUGCAAUAGAUUUUCCAUGAGCAUCAGCAAUCUCUUUAAGCAUAUCAUUUUCCAUAACCUCAUUUGCUCCUCUGCUUGCACCUUUCCUCAAUGGUGAAUAUGCAGUUAACACUAUUCCAUUUUCAUUGCAAUACUCUCUAAGCUUCUUUUGUUGCCAUGCAAGAUUCAUCUCCACCUAUACAUAAAACAUGUUGUACAAGUUAGUAACAUUUUAUACAUAAAACAUUUUGUAUCUAAAGUUUAGUUUGAUUGAUGACUUACUUGAUUGACGGCGGGAAGAACAGUGGCAACAGAGAGGAGAUUUUGAAGUUUCUUGACAGAGAAGUUACUAACUCCAAUAGCUUUGGUGAGUCCAAGUUUCAAACAUUCUUCCAUUGAUUCCC
rnacentral:lncRNA from 1 species